rnacentral:rRNA from 1 species
UAAUACGAAGGGGGCGAGCGUUGUUCGGAAUUACUGGGCGUAAAGGGCGCGCAGGCGGCUCUGAAAGUCAGAUGUGAAAGCCCCGGGCUUAACCUGGGAACUGCAUUUGAUACUCUGGAGCUUGAGUACGGGAGAGGAUAGUGGAAUUCCCAGUGUAGAGGUGAAAUUCGUAGAUAUUGGGAAGAACACCGGUGGCGAAGGCGGCUAUCUGGACCGUAACUGACGCUGAGGCGCGAAAGCGUGGGGAGCAAACAGGAUUAGAUACCCUGGUAGUCCACGCCGUAAACGAUGUGCGCUAGACGUUGGAAGGCUUAGCCUUUCGGUGUCGCAGCUAACGCGAUAAGCGCACCGCCUGGGGAGUACGGCCGCAAGGUUA